GGAGUUGUGGCUCAGUAGUAGAGUGCUUGCCUAGCAUGUAUGAGGCACUGGGUUCAAUUCUCAGCACCA
rnacentral:tRNA from 1 species